rnacentral:tRNA from 1 species
UGCAGGGAUGGUGUAAUUGGCAACAUCACAGUCUCCAAAACUGUUGUUCUGGGUUCAAGUCCUAGUCUCUGCGU